ensembl:lncRNA LINC00320 long intergenic non-protein coding RNA 320
GGAUCAAGAGAAAAGAAAAUACAAGAAAACAGACAGAAGCAAGGCAAGGUACUUCUAUGGAAGGGUGAGCCCUCACAGAUGGAGCAAUGGGGCGCGCACACCUGAACAAGGGAGGGGAAGGAGUUCUUAUCCCUGAUGCAUGUGACCCCUGCUGCUGUGUCCUUCCCCUAUUGGCUAAGGCUUCUGACAGCUUUGGAGAUUGUGACAUUGGAAUAAAGGAAAAACGUACAGGACUCAUGAAGCGCUGAAAUGUUCACAAAUAUCAAGCAAAAGUCAAUGAAAUUUAUUUUGAGCUAUUUACAUCAUUUAAUAAUUGAGCAAGGUAUACUCCUAUGAACAAAAUUUGGAGCAUGUUUGUCUCUCUCUGCCUGGCGUCUUCAGAAUUUGGAAACUAGUUGUCAGGAGUUAACUUUUAUGUGACAAGCUUUACUAGGUCAGGAGCCUAUCGCUGUUUAUAUUCUCUGCAAAGUUUUAAUUGUGAAAAAGGAUUUGAGAUGGUUUAUAAUCAGCUAUAGAAUUUUAACACGUGCUCUCAAAUGCAAGUUUCUGAUAACUUUGGAGAUUGUGACAUUGGAAUAAAGGAAGAGCUGGAAUGUUCAUGAAUAUCAAGCAAAAGUCAUGGAAAUUUAUUUUGAGCUAUUUACAGCAUUUAAUAAUUGAGCAAGGUAUACUCCUAUGAACAAAAUUUGGAGCAUGUUUGUCUCUCUCUGUCUGCCUGGCAUCUACAGAAUUUGGAAACUAGUUGUGCUGUACUGCAUGAGAAUGCCUGCAUUUAGUAUGCGAACUGGAAUUGGCAAAGGACGAUGGCUGCUCUCCCGCUAACUUUAAAUAAGUCAUGUCACAAAUUGCAUGUAAGACUUAUAAAAUAUUAACGUUGGGAGACACUGAAACAAAUCAGUAUUUCUAUUAACCUGCGAAAAGAUCUUCCAAAUAUAUAACCAAAGUAACUAAAACAAAUACUAAAAAGAGUUUACUUUUAAAACUAGGUUUAUGAAAUAUUUUCCCCAAGUUUGCAUGAUUAUUAGAAAAGUGGCUUAAAGAGUAAAGAAAAACUGGAAUCUUGUUGACCCCAAGUACUCCUCUAACCCUUUUGCUCUGCUGUUACAAUGGACCAGUAAAUCUUCAAACAUAACACCUCUUAAAUUAAAAACAGAAAUGGUGUAGAUUGCACACAUUACAACAUUUUUUUAGGCUUACUUCUUUUUUUCAAUAUUAAAGCUUAUUUUUCACACAUUACUUAAUGUUGCCUGUUAAAAAGUGGUGCUUAUAUUUGUGUAGCUAUCUGUUUGAUGGUGGUUUAGUUUAGGAAAUAAAUCACACAGUGACAA